AUUAGACUCGCAGAAACGCACGAAAAUCAAAUAUGGCUGCCAAAAUAAUAAAUCUUUGCAAUAAAUUGACUAAAACAGACUUACCAGCAGCAUUGCCUAAGAUGUUUAUCUAAUAAUAUUUCCAGAACCCCUCUACAAUCAUGUUCGUUCAGUAUUUUAUCAAGAUUAUACUCAACAAAAGAAAUUUCAGAAGUUAAACCAGAAGUAAAUGACCCAG